UAGAUGUCCGAAGGUACCACGAUGUUCUUGUAUAAAAAACUGUUGCUAUUCCUGCUGUUUAUGCUUCUAGCAAACCUAGAACCAAGAAUUCUAAUAUCCUACCUGCAUAAAAAUAGAAAGAUCAUGUACAUUUUUCAUUUUGAUUUCUGUUAAUUAGUUUGGAGGUGAUGUCCAAUCUACCUUUCUAAACAUGUUGCUGAUUCAUUCAGAAAUGUGUCCUUGUGUGGCUGAACUGAACCAAAUAUUGUACUGUAAACUAUACAAAGGGACUGAUUGAGA
rnacentral:lncRNA from 1 species